AGUGAACGCUGGCGGCAGGCCUAACACAUGCAAGUCGAACGGCAGCACAGCAAGAGCUUGCUAUUACGGGUGGCGAGUGGCGGACGGGUGAGGAAUAUAUCGGAAUCUACUUUUUCGUGGGGGAUAACGUAGGGAAAUUUACGCUAAUACCGCAUACGACCUACGGGUGAAAGAAGGGGAUCUUCGGACCUUGCGCGAUUGAAUGAGCCGAUGUCGGAUUAGCUAGUUGGCGGGGUAAAGGCCCACCAAGGCGACGAUCCGUAGCUGGUCUGAGAGGAUGAUCAGCCACACUGGAACUGAGACACGGUCCAGACUCCUACGGGAGGCAGCAGUGGGGAAUAUUGGACAAUGGGCGCAAGCCUGAUCCAGCCAUACCGCGUGAGUGAAGAAGGCCUUCGGGUUGUAAAGCCCUUUUGUUGGGAAAGAAAAGCAUCAGGUUAAUACCCCGCUGUUCUGACGGUACCCGAAGAAUAAGCACCGGCUAACUUCGUG
rnacentral:rRNA from 1 species